rnacentral:lncRNA from 1 species
ACACAAGUGUAGGUUGGACUUGUCCCAAGGGUCAGCGAUUUGCCCUUCCUGGGUGGUCCCACCCCUGCCAAACGCAGAUAAUAAACAGAUCCGGGGAGAGCACGCGCUCACUCAGGGAGCAGCUGGGCCCCGAACCCAGGUUUCUGGCUCCCUGGCCAGGCCUCCGGUCUGGAGUUGCUGGGACAAGGGCCUGAGUGGCUCCCCGGGCCCCCCACGGGCCGUGAUGCCGACGUGACUGCCACAGAGCGCCCCGCAGCCCGGCCUUGUUCCAGGCAGCGGCCUGCCCGCUCCGACGGGAAGCGGCCCCUGGAGACCAGGUAGAUGGGCCCCGGCCCCCGCCCCAGCGACACUGGCCCAUCAGAGGCGGCUCGGUUCCUCCCCUUGCCCCCGUCAAGCAGCCUCCUGCCUCGUGCCUUCAGCCCCCGCCAAACAAAGGUGGCCCAUCGCUCAAGUUCAUGAGUUAGAGACCCGUGUCCCUUCUGUGCUGGACUCGCAUUGGAGCCAUGUGACCGCCCAGAGCCUGGACAUCCCGGUCCCCGCAGAGUCCGUGAACCGUGUCCCUGCUGUCAGCGAGCUCUGGCUCCCACGCGUGGCCUGCAGGUGCGGCCCCUGCCCCGGCCUCCCGGGGAGCCUCCUGAGGGAGCCCCGCCACUGCCUGGGCCGACGUGACCAGCCCCACGCCCUCCCCUCCUGCUGGGUCUUGGCUCCCGCGACGGCAGGAAUGCGCCGCUCAGUGCCCACCCACCAAGUGCCCCCCAGGCUGCUCGAGCCAAGCACAGAGCCUUUGGGAUGGCGCCACCCUUGGGGCCAGGCUCUCGGGCGCCCGCUGUCCACAGGCAGGCUCCCUUGCCUCCUCGGCCCGGGCCGGGCUUGAGACCCAGGGCCGGGUUGCAAGUGGCCCGGGCAGGGCCCAGGGUGGAACGGAGGUUCCAGCCGGACCUUGACCCCUGUCCUGUGCAGUGUGCGGGCCCUGGGACCCUGGGCCUCGCACCUGGGGACAGGCCCUGUGCCCCGUGUCCUCUGACCCCAGGUCCUGAGGGGUGGGGACAUGCCACAGCUGGUAUGAGCCCUUCGCAGCCAAAGGCUUGUAACUCGUGCCUGGACCCUUCUGUGACUGAGCCAUCCGAAACCCUUUGCACACCCUAUCUUAAGUGGUGCUUCAGAGAAUUGCCUGGGAGAUCACCCAUAAGCCUUUGGUUUCUUUUUUUUUUAAGAUUUUAUUUAUUUAUUCAUGAGAGACACAGAGAGGCAGAGACACAGGCAGAGGGAGAAGCAGGCCCCACGCAAGGAGCCCAACGUGGGACUCAAUCCUGGGACUCCAGGGUCACGCCCUGGGCCAAAGGCAGGUGCUCAACCACUGAGCCACCCAAAGGCCCCACAGGCUUUUGUUUUCAAAGACAAAGGCCAGGAAGGGAAUUUGGCCCUGGACCAAGGAAGGGUGAUGGGCUAGCAAUAGGGAGGGAGCAGGGACCGUGA